UUAUAAUAAGCAACAUCUCAUUUAGAGUAAAUCUAUCGAUACAGAGCUUGUUUUUCAUAAAACCAAAAAAUCUAGGAGGAGUGAAUCCUUUCAGGCUUAAUUGCAUGCUUGGUACCUCCAAUUUAUUCACUUGCCCAGUCUUCACUUCACCCCUUUCCCCCUGCAUGAGAGAUCACAUAGAUUAGGUGGUUAGUCAUGCAGAUAGGCUCAUUUUAAUGCUUGCAUUCUUCUUUUUUUUUUGUUUGUUUUAAACCUCGCAUCAGCAACACACAUUGGCUUGCAGUUGCAUUACAAAGAGAAGUAUGUCUCAAGGUACAUAGUAGGGUCGACACUAAUACUGUACCGGCCACAACCUGGAAUGGUACUGAACACGAAAUGGGGCAGUUCAGGACAGUUCACGGUC
rnacentral:lncRNA from 1 species